GAGACUCAAGUGAAGUUUGGAGCAGUUGAUGCCUUAAGAUUGGAAUGUUGUUCAUGACCAACCGCCAUAACACCUAUUGGUACAAAUCCCACUCAGUUGGUUCCAACUAGCCAGAGACUAAGGCUUUGCAAUCUUGUAAAAGUCGGAUAAAGGCAGUGAUACCGUCCACAACCAGCCGGGGACCUAUAGAUCAGAAGAAGGAGCCAAGCUAUCAGAUGUUACAAUAAAACGGUACUGCGAAUGCCAAGCUCCAAAGCGAGUUCACCACCAAGCCUUUGAAACUCUCCCGAGACCACACGGGAAAGCCCAAGACUCGCCACGCUCCGCCUACGAGAACCGUAGGAAUACCUUCUUCUACAGGCCGUCUUCGCGUCGACGAACGUCGAGGCUUAGUUUGGUCAGAGUGAAACACCACCCUUCUCUCCUCCUUCUGAACCAUAGACGAUUCUUUCAGUAUUGAGAAGAGACAGCACACACAUCACAAGAGUCAAACCGAGGAACACACAUCCGCCUUCUUAGCUCUGGUGCGCCUCCGGAGGGAAGUCUCCAAAGUUCACACGGGCAAGAAUGGACGCUGAGCCACCCACACACCGAGUCUGCUUCACGCGCCACCACACACCCCUUCUCCUUACAUAUAUGAGUUACAAGCCACCAAAACCACACCAGCUUCCAGAUCUGUAACUUGAGAGACAAAACGCAACCCCGCGUCACAGCCUCAAAGCCGAGGGCCGACGAAACCAAAAGGAAAACGGUUCAUCGGCCAUCAACGGCUGAACCCUAAAAACCGACCUUCUCGUGGCUUUCUCUUCACACGGCUCGCCCUGCUCCAGAUCUAUCUUCAGAUAAUCUAGCUACAGCUCCGCCGCGGACAGAGCUUUCUACCAGGGACCUCCAAUGAGCACCAGAACCGCGAGCAUAUCACCGGG
rnacentral:lncRNA from 1 species